GACGAACGCUGGCGGCGUGCUUAACACAUGCAAGUCGAACGAAGUGGCGAACGGGUGAGUAACGCGUAAUCAACCUGCCCUUCAGAGGGGGACAACAGUUGGAAACGACUGCUAAUACCGAAUACUAAGGGAGGGGAUUGCGUUUGAUUAGCUAGUUGGAGGGGUAACGGCUCACCAAGGCGAUGAUCCGUAGCUGGUCGGAGAGGAGGAACGGCAACAUUGGGACUGAGACACGGCCCAGACUCCUACGGGAGGCAGCAGUGGGGAAUCUUCCGCAAUGGACGAAAGUCUGACGGGGCAACGCCGCGUGAGGGAUGAUGUCCUUCGGGUUGUAAGGCUCUGUGAAUCGGGAGGCGGUACCGGAAUAGAAAGCCACGGCUAACUACGUGCAAGCAGCCGGGUAAUAC
rnacentral:rRNA from 1 species